rnacentral:tRNA from 1 species
GGCUCUGUAGCUCAGUGUUUAGAGCGCUGCUCUCAUGAGGCAGAGGUCGUGAGUUAAACUCUCACCAGAGCCA